rnacentral:lncRNA from 1 species
UCCGGGUUUCGGGUCCAAUCCGUCCAUGGUAUGUGAGCCUUGGCCCUGUGGCGGAAACUAUGGCUACCCAAUGCCUUGCCAUUCUUGCUAUAACCAUAAUUUCAGACCCUCUUACCCUCAUCCUUCAAUGCCAUCACCGCAACACUUCUAUGGGGGUUAUCCUGUUCCGCAUCACGAGGCCUACCCUGUUCCAUAUGUGCCGCCGCCUCCUCAUUAUUCCAUGGAGAUUCCUAAAUAUGAGUAUGAUAAGAUGGUACCUCGAAAUUAUCACUGUUUUGGGUGUCCUAAUCAUGUUUGCCACCAGAAUGUAGAUAAGGGUGUGAAGAUUGAAGAACAAGGAUCGGAUGUUGUCGAUAAGAAGGCAGAUUUGGUUCCGGUUCAUAUGAACAACAACCAUUAUCCAACUUUGUGGUUUCCACCGGAUUCCUUGAAUGGUAGAGAGCAAAGGAAGGUUUCCGAACCGGAGGUCGUAGAGGAAACAAAAAUUCCAACUGAUUCUAAGCCUACAGAGGGUUUGAAGUCUCAGGGAGAUCAAAGGCAUAUUCGGUUCCCUUUUGAUCUGAAUGACAUUGGGGCUUCGAUGCAAGGAGGAAAUAGAGAGCCACGUCAAGAACAGCAGGUGGAGGAUAAAAAGAAGGAAUUCCCAUUUCCAAUUUUCUGGAUGCCACCUUAUCAGGAGGCUGGAAAGAAGGACAAGAAUGUCAAUGCUUCUCGUGAUCACAAGACUGAGGAUGAACAUAAGCAAAUCCCAUUUCCAUUCUUCUGGUUUCCUUACGGAAACAAGCAGGAGGAAGUUCGAAAGGAGGACAACAGGGAGGUGAAUUCCGCACCAAAAAUUGUUCCAAUGAAAAUUACUGGGGGUGGUGUCACAAUGGAGGCUGGUACAAAUGAAGAGAAACCUGCUGGUCAGGGUGCUGAGGAGAGGAAGGAAAACACUGCUAACGUGAAAAGCAUAGUUGUGAAGCAAAUGGAUCCACGUAAGGAGGAAAAUAACUCUGAAGACGAGGAGAGAAGAGAAAGGAGUGUCCCCGUGAAACAAGUGGAAGAGAAUGUGGGGAACAAACCUUCUGGUACGAGUGUUAAGAGACAGUCCUCUUCCCCUAAAAAGUCAUCUGAGCUACCUCCCGUCUGUCUGAGAGUUGAUCCACUGCCGAGGAAGAAGAAGGCCAAUGGCAGUUCACGGUCUCCUAGUCCUCCUGCUCAAAAAGG